CAAUAGCGUAUAUUAAAGUUGUUGCUGUUAAAAAGCUCGUAGUUGAACUUCUAUAUAUGCCCGGUUCUGGCUUCGGUCAAGCCGUGGUGUAUAUAUUCGCUUGCAAACCUAGUCCGGCCUUCACUGGUCGACUAGGGGAGUAGGCUUUUUACUGUGAAAAAAUUAGAGUGUUUCAAGCAAGCAAUGGCCUGAAUACAUUAGCAUGGAAUAAUGGAAUAGGACUUUUGUCCAUUUGGUUGGUUAUUGGACAUGAGUAAUGAUUAACAGGGACAGUUGGGGGCAUUAGUACUUAAUUGUCAGAGGUGAAAUUCUUGGAUUUAUUAAAGACUAACUUAUGCGAAAGCAUUUGCCAAGGAUGUUUUCAUUGA
rnacentral:rRNA from 1 species